GCGGGGCGGCCCUGCCGUCCCGCCCGCUUUUUGCCGGCCGCCCACGACCUUUCCUGCGAGGCUGCGUGACCUUGACCCCGCUCCGUAUCG
rnacentral:antisense_RNA from 1 species